rnacentral:rRNA from 1 species
GACGAACCGAGCGAACGUUGUUCGGAAUCACUGGGCUUAAAGGGCGCGUAGGCGGGCUGUCAAGUCUGGGGUGAAAUCCCGCGGCUCAACCGUGGAAUUGCCUCAGAUACUGACGGCCUCGAGGGGGGUAGGGGCGAGCGGAACGGGUGGUGGAGCGGUGAAAUGCGUUGAUAUCACUCGGAACUCCGGUGGCGAAGGCGGCUCGCUGGACCUUUUCUGACGCUGAGGCGCGAAAGCUAGGGGAGCAAACGGG